AAUCCUCUUUUGCGACCUAGAACUCAUUGCACAGUAUGAAUUUUGAUACAUACAAGAAGGA
rnacentral:miRNA from 1 species